rnacentral:rRNA from 9 species
AAACGACUCUCGGCAACGGAUAUCUCGGCUCUCGCAUCG